UACAGAGGGUGCGAGCGUUAAUCGGAAUUACUGGGCGUAAAGUGUGCGCAGGCGGCCGCGCAAGUCGAGUGUGAAAGCCCCGGGCUUAACUUGGGAAUUGCGCUCGAAACUACGUGGCUGGAGUGUGGCAGAGGAAGGUGGAAUUCCACGUGUAGCGGUGAAAUGCGUAGAUAUCUGGAGGAACACCGGUGGCGAAGGCGGCAUUCUGGACCGAAACUGACGCUGAGGCGCGAAAGCCAGGGGAGCAAACGGG
rnacentral:rRNA from 1 species